UACGGAGGGUGCGAGCGUUGUCCGGAAUCACUGGGCGUAAAGGGCGCGUAGGCGGCAGGCCAAGCGUGCGGUGAAAGUCCGGGGCUCAACCCCGGAUCGGCCGUGCGGACUGGUUUGCUAGAGCACUGUAGAGGCAGGCGGAAUUCCGGGUGUAGCGGUGGAAUGCGUAGAGAUCCGGAAGAACACCGGUGGCGAAGGCGGCCUGCUGGGCAGUAGCUGACACUGAGGCGCGACAGCGUGGGGAGCAAACAGG
rnacentral:rRNA from 1 species